UGCGAGACUCAGCCUGGCGAGCACGAUUGCUUGGCGACUGGUUGGCGACUUUGCUUCGGGAGAGUUCGUGGCGAUCUCUUUAGACAGGUUACAGGGUCAUCGAUACACCGUGCAUCAACAAAUUUCCCUUCUCCUGCGAGACUCAGCCUGGCGAGCACGAUUGCUUGGCGACUGGUUGGCGACUUUGCUUCGGGAGAGUUCGUGGCGAUCUCUUUAGACGGGUUACAGGGACAUCGAUACACCGUACAUCAAUAAGUAAGUGUCUUUGUUAGUGGAUAGCCAGGUAAUCGCGUGUGUAGUCCGACUUACGAGACGUUACUUUGUCUCGGUUGGACGUUCGUGAGAGUUUGCUUUUUGGCGAUUUGAGCCACACAUCCACGCAGCAUAGAGGGCACCGUUAACUCUCAACAACACCCGCGACUGUUACUCUGCUCUGUAGAAUCAGUCACAUGGAGCAGAUGAACUCUCCACAGUGCCAAGCCCACACGGGCGAGAAGCCAUUCCAUUGUUCUGUGUGUGUGAAGGCAUUUUCACGGAAAUCAACUCUUAG